rnacentral:lncRNA from 1 species
GGGCAGUCAUCGCGAAGAGUUGUCAACGGUGGGCGUCCACCUGGACUAUCGACGAAAAAGUCUUCCCACCUACUUGGACCUGUCUUGUUGAACAAGGCACCAGUCCCCCUACGACGGGACGGGUAAUUCUUCGGCUCUAUCUCUUGAGUCAUCUUCCGUGUUGAACAAGGCACCAGUCCCCCUACGACGGGACGGGUAAUUCUUCGGCUCUAUCUCUUGAGUCAUCUUCCGUGUUGAACAAGGCACCCGUCCCCCUAUCACGGGAUCUCAUUCUCCACUGCUGGAUCAUCCGAUGGCAGGGAGAGCUUUAGGAGAAAGAGAACAGAGAUGAGGGCGGCAGCUCUCGAGAGAAGGAAGGGCCUUGCUGGUCUUUCAGACGCCGGCGACUUCUUCCCGGCCCUGUCGGGGAGAACAGUUCCAGAGUGUACUCUCUUCUUCACCCGCAAGCCCAGUACCAUGGACCACCGCUUUGCUCAUCAAUUCUGCUCAUCGGGGUGCAGGAGCUUCCAGCUCUUCCCGACGAGCUUUGCGGCUCCCCACAGUAUCUCCCGGGCGUUCGAGGUCGGUGACCGGCCGCCGCCGACGAUCAGAGGCAAGCACUCCUCUUCACCCAUGGCUCAGGUUCUGUUUCCUUACGUUCUGCUCAGUUGCAGAACAAACUAACGCGUUCUCUUUGUGAACUCUUUCUAAUGGGGGGUAGUCAUCGCGGAGACUUGUCAACGGUGGGCGUCUGCCUUGAUAAUCAACUAAAAAGUCUACCCACCUACACGGACCUGACGGGUAAUUAAUUCUUCGUCUCUAUCUCUCGAGUCAUCCUUAGUGUUGAACAUGGCACCCGUCCCCAUAUCACGGGAUCUCAUUCUCCACUGCUGGAUCAUCCGAUGUCGGGGAGACCUUUAG